AUAAUUGUUGGUUUUCCACAUUUUGUGUUUCAUUUUCAGUGUAGUGUUUCCACAUUUAUAUAUUUUCAUAAUUCUAAAAAGUUUAGAAUGACCAAAAGCGAGCUAGUAAUCGAGUACACAGCUCCGCGGCUGAACCGGAAGCGCGUUAUGUAGACGAAGGGUCUGUACUCCGGUGCUGGCUCCUCGUGCCCCAUCUCUCUCUCUCUCUCUCCCUGAGCUCGAAAAAUGGAGAUGACUCUGCGCCUCAAUCAGCUCGUGCCAUUGUUUUUGGUUUUCUUCCUUCUGUUUUCCGUCUCUCUCACUGUCAGAUCUUCAAGCAAUGGAAGUAUAGAGAAGGAAAAAACAUUAGCCAUGAUAAAACCUGAUGGAUUAUUGGGUAACCACACAGAUGAGAUAAAGAAAGUUAUUUUUGAUUCUGGCUUUGAAAUUAUCAAGGAAAUCACAGUUCAACUUGAUGAGGAUAGGGCUGCAAGCUUUUAUGCCGAGCAUUCUUUGAAGAGCUUCUUUCCAAGCCUUAUCAAAUACAUGACAAGUGGUCCAGUGUUAAUUAUGGUCUUGGAGAAGGAGAAUGCUGUCGCUGAUUGGCGUGCUUUGAUUGGACCAACUGACACAAGCAAGGCUAAGGCUACCCAUCCUCAUAGCAUCAGGGCCAUGUGUGGGCUGGAUUCAGAAAAGAAUUGUGUUCAUGGUUCAGAUUCUCCUCUAUCCAGUACUAGGGAGAUAUCAUUUUUCUUUCAAGAGAUGUCUUCAGGUGAAGAUGUUAUGAAGCAUGAUGAACUAUAAAAGAAGAAAUUAUUUGUCAUGGGUACUUGAUGCUAAGAUUUACCUUAAGAUAAUCUUGGAAGUACAGUUGAAGAAGGAAAUCAAACAUCCUUGUAGGAUCGCGCAAAGAUACCUUGAAGAGCAUAGUUGAAAUCAGAGUAAUGUAGCGGAAGCAUGGGUGGGAUUAGAAGGAACAGUUUAAAUUAAAUAUUAAAUUUGUUAUUUUUGUAUAUUUUAAAAUUUUCCUAGGAUGAAUGAUAUUGGAAAUAUUGUUUUAAUGAGGUUUUUAGUACUUCGAUAUAAAUAUAUUUGAGGUUUUUCGCUGUAUAA